CGUGUGCUUACAAGUAGUCAGAGCCCGUUAAUGGGUGAUGGCGUGCCUUUUGUAGAAUGAACCGGCGAGUUACGAUUUGAUGCAAGGUUAAGCAGUAAAUGUGGAGCCGUAGCGAAAGCGAGUCUGAAUAGGGCGUUUAGUAUUUGGUCGUAGACCCGAAACCAGGUGAUCUACCCUUGGUCAGGUUGAAGUUCAGGUAACACUGAAUGGAGGACCGAACCGACUUACGUUGAAAAGUGAGCGGAUGAACUGAGGGUAGCGGAGAAAUUCCAAUCGAACCUGGAGAUAGCUGGUUCUCUCCGAAAUAGCUUUAGGGCUAGCCUCAAGUGAUGAUUAUUGGAGGUAGAGCACUGUUUGGACGAGGGGCCCCUCUCGGGUUACCGAAUUCAGACAAACUCCGAAUGCCAAUUAAUUUAACUUGGGAGUCAGAACAUGGGUGAUAAGGUCCGUGUUCGAAAGGGAAACAGCCCAGACCACCAGCUAAGGUCCCAAAAUAUAUGUUAAGUGGAAAAGGAUGUGGCGUUGCCCAGACAACUAGGAUGUUGGCUUAGAAGCAGCCAUCAUUUAAAGAGUGCGUAAUAGCUCACUAGUCGAGUGACACUGCGCCGAAAAUGUACCGGGGCUAAACAUAUUACCGAAGCUGUGGAUUGUCCUUUGGACAAUGGUAGGAGAGCGUUCUAAGGGCGUUGAAGCAUGAUCGUAAGGACAUGUGGAGCGCUUAGAAGUGAGAAUGCCGGUGUGAGUAGCGAAAGACGGGUGAGAAUCCCGUCCACCGAUUGACUAAGGUUUCCAG
rnacentral:rRNA from 1 species